ACGUAGGGUGCGAGCGUUAAUCGGAAUUACUGGGCGUAAAGCGUGCGCAGGCGGUUUUGUAAGACAGGCGUGAAAUCCCCGGGCUCAACCUGGGAAUGGCGCUUGUGACUGCAAGGCUUGAGUAUGGCAGAGGGGGGUAGAAUUCCACGUGUAGCAGUGAAAUGCGUAGAGAUGUGGAGGAAUACCGAUGGCGAAGGCAGCCCCCUGGGUCAAUACUGACGCUCAUGCACGAAAGCGUGGGGAGCAAACAG
rnacentral:rRNA from 1 species